UCUCUCUGCCGUGAAUCAUUCCUGCAGAUGAAAAAGUGUGACUUGGCAGCUGGUGAUUCUGCUGUGCCCUACAGUUUGAGAACCAUGGAAGCUUAGCAUGAUGGCUGACAGCAUGGGCUCCAGGGCCAUAAUGCCCAGAUUCAAAGCCUUAUUUCACCAUUCACCAACUGUGGGACCUUAGGUAGGUGACUUAAUGUUUCUCUAUAUCUCAGUUUACCUAUCUGUAAAAUGAAGAUAACAAUAUUUACCUAUAAUAAUAAUUUAACAUUAUAUAUUGCUUAAUACAUAAAUUUAUGCAUUAUAAUGUAUUAAUAGAUAUAAUAGUUUCCACACAUAAUGGGUGGCAAGCACUUGGCACGGGCCUCAGAACACCAGCAUACCCACUAAUUGUCAUCUCUUAUAAUCCAAAAGCCACACU
rnacentral:sRNA from 1 species